GGGAAAAUAAAGUGGGAUAGUCACUUUCCACUGUUUGGAAACAUAUAGGAAAAUAAAAGGGGAAGAAAAUAAGGUAGACUAUACACCUGGUUCCUUUCUCUGCAAAUUGGAGAGAACAAUGUGCGGAAAUCCUGAAAUGACAUAUAUGCCAUUGUACAUUAUGAAAUAAAUAUUGCAUUGUUCUUUCUGCCUGAUGCUUGUCCUUUCUCUAGUAAAUCCCAUGCACUGCUUU
rnacentral:misc_RNA from 1 species